UCCCUUCUUAAUGUGUUGGGGCAACUGCAUAUCAUUAAAAUUGUAAUAGUACCUGGACAAAAAAGAAUAAAAAACUUAAACUUAGAUCUGUCUCCAAAUUUCGUCAUGUACUAUAGCUUGUUUUCUCUUGCACCAAUUAGAUAAACAAUAGUACUAAUCAAUUGAUACAACUUGAUACAAAAAUUAUAUUACUUAAUUGGGUCCAUGAACCAACAACACCAGCAGAUACAAUGUUCAACAUGUGUAUCAUGACAUAAUAGCCACACUCAUACUAUUUGUUGCUUUUGGCUCUAAAAUUGAAUAUGAUCAAA
rnacentral:lncRNA from 1 species